rnacentral:tRNA from 1 species
GGUGAUGUGGCUCACGUGAUAGAGUGCUUGCCUCACAUGCAAAAGUCCCUGGGAUCAAUCCCAAGCGCCACCA